ensembl:lncRNA
GCUUAAUUCUCUCUCGAAGUGGAGAGGAGCCAUAUAACCCAAACGUCUCAGCGUUUCUCUCACCGGCCCUGAGUUAGCAGCGGUCUGGUUUGCGAGGCAAAAUGGAACUUAAGAAGAAAUUUUGGGAGACAUGGCGAAAGGAAUAUACCAUUAAAACUGCUUUACUUGAGUCAUUAAUUUUGAUAGUGGUCGAAAAAAUAAUGGAAGCUGAAUUUAAAUGUUCUCCAAAGAAGACCUUGAGAGUCUGCUACGGUGUCCUCUAUUUUGUUAUUCCAGCUGGGAUUUUGUUUUUACUAAGCAUGGCUUUUCAGCCAAAAUGCCCUUGUGCCAAGAAACGGUGCAAUAGCUGCAGUGACUUUUUUGAGUCUUGUGCUAAGAUUUUCUUGCCUUCUCUUAUAUGGAUUGUCAUUCUUCUCAUGGAUGGAAAAUACAUGGCUUGUCUGUGUAAAACAGAUGAAGAAAUCAUCACAGGAGACAAUACGAAACAGCCCAGUGAUUGUUAUAUACAUUCACAGAUUUCAGGUCUAGUCCUCAUUCUCGGGAUAGUUGUCUCUUUUGCCAUAUACAAGUUCUCACGUUGGCACUCCAACUGCGGUGAAAGCAUUGAGACGCAAGAUCAACUUGAAAUGGGGGAUACUUCGACCACAAAGCAAAAUUAGUGAAGGACAUCGUGGAACCUCAUGUCUCAGUUUGUUUGGACAAAGUUUUGGCGGUUAUUGAGGAAGAGCGUUCGUGUGAUCGACGUCAAGCUGUUCCCAAGUAGAGUGACCAGCUAGCACAGGGCUGGGCAAACCUUUUGGCCCGAGAGCCACAUCGGGGUUGCAAAACUGUAUGGAGGGCCGGGUAGGGAAGGCUGUGCCCCCCCAAACAGCCUGGCCCCCACCACCUAUUCACCCCCUCCCACUUCCCGCCCCCUGACUGUCCCUCUCAGAACUCCCGAUGCAUCCAACCCCCCCUGCUCCUUGUCCCGUCAGUGCCCCCUCCUGGGACCCCUGCCGUUAACCGCCCCCCCCAGGACCCCACUCCCUAUCCAACACCCCCUUCUCUCUGUCUCCGGACUGCCCUGCCCCCUAUUCACACCCCUGCCCCCUAACAGGCCCCUCAGGACUCCCACACCUAUUCAGCCCACCCUGUUCCCUGUCCUUUGACUGCUCCCCCCACACCUCAGCCCCAUCCAACCGGCCCCUGCUCCUUGUCCCCUAACCGCCCCCUGGGUCCCCACCCCCUAUCCAACCCCCCCGCUCCCUGUCCCCUAACCGCCCCAACCCCUAUACACACCCCUGCCCCUAACCGCCUCCUGGGUCCCCACCCCCUAUCCAACCCCCCUGCUCCCUGUCCCCUAACUGCCCCAACCCCUAUCCACAUCCCUUCCCCUAACCGCCCCCUGUGUCCCCAGCCCCUAUCCAACCCCCCUGCUCCCUGUCCCUUAACCACCCCAACCCCUAUCCACACCCCUGCCCCUAACCACCCCCUGGGUCCCCACCCUCUAUCCAACCCCAUUCCCUGUCCCCUAACCGCCCCCCAAAUCUCUGCCCCUUGUGAUUUUAGUAUCCUGAAGAGAGUCUGGUCUGUUCUUCCCACCGCUGGUGAGUGCAGGCCUGGCCCUGCUGCAGACCUCAGGGGAGUGGGGUGGGGGUGGCUAGGGACGGCCCUGCCAGC